UUUUGGUAGUGUGAAGGCUGCACCUGAGAAGGCAGGAGCUGUGCGGGAGGAGCCAGAAAGCCAGCCAAAGAAUCUAAAAACAAACUGUUGCAGAGAGAGAAAAGCAAGCGAGAGCGGAGCAGAACUGACUGACAAGGAGCCAAACAGCAGUAGUGAUUUGAUUUUUAAAAGAAAGAAGCAGUCGUUGUACAGACACAGAGCCCAGAACUGAGAGCAGAAGCCCAUGUACCAUCUCACAGCGCCACUCAAAUUUCACCAAGCCAUCUGUCCAGCAUGGCUGCAGGUGGAUCCCAUCUCUUCCUAACAAUCCUUCUUCGCCAAGCAACAUAUCAUGAUUGAAGAAUCCAAAGCCCUCUCUCCGACACCGCCAGCACAUCCCUCUCCCAGGCCACUUCCCGCCGCCCACAUUGGCCUGGGAUGGCGAACCAUGACCAGUGGGAGCUGUGGUCUGCCGAACCUGCCAAUGCAGCAGGUAAACAAACUGGCCCAGCCCACCAGGGUGCUUACCCUGGCGAGCCACGUGCCAGAGGUGCUGACCCCUGAUGUACACUAUUGGCCCAAAGGGAGGAGUUGCAUGGCAGGGCACUAAUUCCCAAUUCCAGUGCAAUAUGUGAUCCAAGCACCAGGUCUUUAGUACCAGAAUUUGUUCUCCGAAGAGAGUGGGAUGAAAUUAUGGAAGUUACAAGGGAAAAAGCCCUUUGUGAUCAUCCUGGCUGAGUCUAUCUCCCUGCCAAUGCAGGGCUGAUCCUUACUGCAUGUUUUGUCCAGUCUUCUUUUAAGAGUCCCAAGCUUUGGGGUUUCUAGCUGUGACACUCUAUACCUUGGGUGAGUGGCAUGCCCUGUAACCCACAUAUUCAUCAUUUGAUUAUAGUUAUGAUAUUUCAUAUAAAGCAUGCCAUGUAA